rnacentral:rRNA from 1 species
CCCUUAGAUGUCCGGGGCCGCACGCGCGCUACACUGAAGGAAUCAGCGUGGCUUUCUCCCUGACCCGAAAGGGUUGGGAAACCCGUUGAAUCUCCUUCGUGAUAGGGAUUGGGGCUUGAAAUUGUUCCCCAUGAACGAGGAAUUCCCAGUAAGCGCGAGUCAUAAGCUCGCGUUGAUUACGUCCCUGCCCUUUGUACACACCGCCCGUCGCUCCUACCGAUUUUGAGUGGUCCGGUGAACCUUCUGGAUUGUGCGGCUUGCCGCGCGAGAAGUUAUGUAAACCUUAUCACUUAGAGGAAGGAGAAGUCGUAACA